rnacentral:rRNA from 1 species
CCUACGGGUGGCAGCAGUGCGGAAUAUUGGUCAAUGGGCGAGAGCCUGAACCAGCCAAGUCGCGUGACGGAAGACGGUCCUAUGUAUUGUAAACCUCUUUUGUCGUGGAGCCAAUGACGCCACGCGUGUCGUUCCGAGAGUCCCCUAAGACACAGCAUCGGCUACCUCCGUGCCAGCAGCCGCGGUAAUACGGAGUAUUCGAGCGUUAUCCGGAUUUAUUGGGUUUAAAGGGUGAGCAGGCGGAAGAUCAAGUCAGCGUUAAAAAGGUGGGGCUCAACCUCGUCGAGCCGUUGAAACUGGUUUUCUUGAGUGAGCGAGAAGGAUGCGGAAUGCGUGGUGUAGCGGUGAAAUGCAUAGAUAGCACGCAGAACUCCGAUUGCGAAGGCAGCAUACCGGCGCUCAACUGACGCUGAUGCACGAAAGUGUGGGUAUCGAACAGGAUUAGAUACCCUUGUAGUC